AGAAUAAAAUCCAAAGAUCAACGCUAACAGCUAUGGAGGUAAUGAAAGGAGCGCACUCAGUUUACAUUCCAGUGUUGAUAGAUGAAGAAUACGUGGUUUUUUUCUAAGGGAUCCUAAAGCUGUUAAACCUCACAGACCAUUUAGAAGGUGAGCAAGAACAAACAAUGUGAUUAAAGGGAACUGCCAAAAACCGUACGAGUGUCAGCUGCCACCACUGCUCAUUACAUGGAUGAAGAAGUUGACUUUUAAUUUAUAGACAAUUUGAGAAAGAGUACAUGAAGACUUGAAAAGGAAGCUUUCUUUUGCUAAAAGGAAAAAGGAAAACUGUUAUUAAGAACCUCUGCUGAACUGCAUUGAUAAGUAGGUAAAUAUUUCUCUGUCACUGUCCCAACAGGAAAUCCCACUCUAGGAGUGAGAUUUGUUUUAUUCAGAUGGUUCAACCUAUCAGUACUGAGGUCAGAUGGAAAG
rnacentral:lncRNA from 1 species